UACGGGGGGGAGCAAGCGUUGUUCGGAUUUACUGGGCGUAAAGGGCGCGUAGGCGGCCACCGCAAGUCGAUUGUGAAAUCUCCGGGCUUAACCCGGAAAGGUCAACCGAUACUGCGGGGCUAGAGUGCAGAAGGGGCAACUGGAAUUCUCGGUGUAGCGGUGAAAUGCGUAGAUAUCGAGAGGAACACCUGCGGCGAAGGCGGGUUGCUGGGCUGACACUGACGCUGAAGUGCGAAAGCGUGGGGAGCAAACAGG
rnacentral:rRNA from 1 species